UCGAGUAGGUACUUAUCACUAAAGGGUGAAGGAGAUCGCCAUUUUUGUUUAACAAACUGAUCGAAAAAGUUUAGCGCUAAAUCCAGUGGUCUACUCCUGAUGUUGUAAUACAUAAGUGACCUACAUACAUACAUAUCGUCGUUUAAAUGCGCAUCAAUUUCUGUCAAAUAUUAUCAGUAUUACGUACUACAUAAAAAUACACUGAGCAGUCUAUGCUACGACGGAAGCACGAGAAUUUUCCCAAAAUCAUUACUGGAAUUUGAAGUAAACAGACAACAGCAUGAGUUUACUCACUUCCAUCUAAACAGUAUGAACUCAUUGCUGUGAACUCUAUAAGCAGUUAUGUUUGGAAAUAAAUGAGUGCGAGUGUGUGCAGA